rnacentral:tRNA from 1 species
UUCCUGGUGGUCCAGUGGUUAGGACGCUGAGCUUUCACUGCUGAGGGCCUGGGUUCAAUCUCUAGCUAGGGAA